rnacentral:rRNA from 1 species
CCUACGUGCGGCAGCAGUGAGGAAUAUUGGUCAAUGGGCGCGAGCCUGAACCAGCCAAGUCGCGUGAGGGAAGACGGUCCUAUGGAUUGUAAACCUCUUUUGUCGGGGAGCAAAAGACGCCACGCGUGGCGUUCCGAGAGUACCCGAAGAAAAAGCAUCGGCUAACUCCGUGCCAGCAGCCGCGGUACUACGGGGGAUGCGAGGGUUGUCCGGAUUUAUUGGGGUAAAGGGGUGCGCAGGGGGAAGAUCAAGUCAGAGGUAAAAUUGAGAGGCUCAACCUCUUCGAGCAGUUGAAACUGGUUUUCUUGAGUGAGGGAGAAGUAUGCGGAAUGCGAGGUGUAGCGGUGAAAUGCAUAGAUAUCACGAAGAACUCCGAUUGCGAAGGCAGCAUACCGGCGCUCAACUGACGCUCAUGCACGAAAGUGUGGGUAUCGAACAGGAUUAGAUACCCUGGUAGUC